rnacentral:tRNA from 1 species
GGGGGUGUGGCUCAGUGGGCAGAGCGUUUGCCUGGCAGACAUGAUGCCUGGGUUUGGUCCCCAGCACCACAU